GACGAACGCUGGCGGCGUGCUUAACACAUGCAAGUCGAGCGGAAAGGCCCUGCUUUUGUGGGGUGCUCGAGUGGCGAACGGGUGAGUAACACGUGAGUAACCUGCCCUUGACUUUGGGAUAACUUCAGGAAACUGGGGCUAAUACCGGAUAGGAGCUCCUGCUGCAUGGUGGGGGUUGGAAAGUUUCGGCGGUUGGGGAUGGACUCGCGGCUUAUCAGCUUGUUGGUGGGGUGGUGGCUUACCAAGGCUUUGACGGGUAGCCGGCCUGAGAGGGUGACCGGCCACAUUGGGACUGAGAUACGGCCCAGACUCCUACGGGAGGCAGCAGUGGGGAAUAUUGCACAAUGGGCGGAAGCCUGAUGCAGCAACGCCGCGUGCGGGAUGACGGCCUUCGGGUUGUAAACCGCUUUCGCCUGUGACGAAGCGUGAGUGACGGUAAUGGGUAAAGAAGCACCGGCUAACUACGUG
rnacentral:rRNA from 1 species